rnacentral:rRNA from 1 species
UACGCAGGGGGCUAGCGUUGCUCGGAAUCACUGGGCGUAAAGCGCACGUAGGCGGAUCUUUAAGUCAGGGGUGAAAUCCCGGAGCUCAACUCCGGAACUGCCUUUGAUACUGAGGGUCUCGAGUCCGGGAGAGGUGAGUGGAACUGCGAGUGUAGAGGUGAAAUUCGUAGAUAUUCGCAAGAACACCAGUGGCGAAGGCGGCUCACUGGCCCGGUACUGACGCUGAGGUGCGAAAGCGUGGGGAGCAAACAGG